AUUGCUUCUUGGCCUUUUGGCUUAGAUCAAGUGUAAAAUGCUAUCUCCUUAUUUUAGGAUGUUUCUGAGGUUUUCAGUUUAAGGCUAUACAGUUCUAUAAUGCUAGGUUGAAAAUACGACUGUUGAAAUAUGUAGUGCGUAGUAAUCAAA
rnacentral:snRNA from 1 species